rnacentral:lncRNA from 1 species
GUUGGACCGGCAUGUUGGCCAGAGCAAGUUUAACGGGAACCGGUGGGUUUUUUCCUAAGGGGUGAUCACCGCCGGUUCAGCGGUCGCUUUUUUUAUCCUAAAGUGUGCAGAAGAGGAUCAGCUCACGGAUCCCAACCACCAAACAAGAACUAUAGAGGACUUGGUUCAUGCCACGUGCACAGUUCUAAUAUUAGAUUCCAUGCAGCCCC